GACGAACGCUGGCGGCGUGCUUAACACAUGCCAGUCGAACGAGAGCGUAGAGAAAGCUUGCUUUUUCUACAAUCUAGUGGCAAACGGGUGAGUAACGCGUAAACAACCUGCCCUACGGAUGGGGACAACAGCUGGAAACGGCUGCUAAUACCGAAUACGUUCCGAAAGUCGCAUGACUAUCGGAAGAAAGGAUGGCCUCUAUUUAUAAGCUAUCGCCGGAGGAGGGGUUUGCGUCUGAUUAGCUAGUUGGAGGGGUAACGGCCCACCAAGGCGACGAUCAGUAGCCGGUCUGAGAGGAUGAACGGCCAAAUUGGAACUGAGACACGGUCCAGACUCCUACGGGAGGCAGCAGUGGGGAAUCUUCCGCAAUGGGCGAAAGCCUGACGGAGCAACGCCGCGUGAGUGAAGACGGCCUUCGGGUUGUAAAGCUCUGUUAUACGGGACGAAUAAUCUUGUGGUUAAUACCCAUGAGAAGUGACGGUACCGUAAGAGAAAGCCACGGCUAACUACGUG
rnacentral:rRNA from 1 species